GAAUCUUGGACAAUGGGCGAAAGCCUGAUCCAGCGACGCCGCGUGACUGAUGAAGCCUUUCGGGGUGUAAAAGUCUUUCGGCAGGGACAAUAAUGAUGGUACCUGCAGAAGCAGCUGCGGCUAACUACGUGCCAGCCGCCGCGGUAAUACGUAGGCAGCUAGCGUUGUUCGGAAUUACUGGGCGUAAAGCGAGUGUAGGCGGUUUGCCAAGUCCGUUGUGAAAUCUCCCGGCUCAACUGGGAGGGUGCGGCGGAAACUGGCAGGCUAGAGUGCGGAAUGGGAGAGUGGAAUUCCUGGUGUAGCGGUGAAAUGCGUAGAUAUCAGGAGGAACACCGGUGGUGAAGACGGCUCUCUGGACCGCUACUGACGCUGAGACUCGAAAGCGUGGGGAGCAAACAGG
rnacentral:rRNA from 1 species